CUGACGGAGCACGCCGCGUGAGUGAUGAAGGUCUUCGGAUCGUAAAACUCUGUUAUUAGGGAAGAACAAAUGUGUAAGUAACUAUGCACGUCUUGACGGUACCUAAUCAGAAAGCCACGGCUAACUACGUGCCAGCAGCCGCGGUAAUACGUAGGUGGCAAGCGUUAUCCGGAAUUAUUGGGCGUAAAGCGCGCGUAGGCGGUUUUUUAAGUCUGAUGUGAAAGCCCACGGCUCAACCGUGGAGGGUCAUUGGAAACUGGAAAACUUGAGUGCAGAAGAGGAAAGUGGAAUUCCAUGUGUAGCGGUGAAAUGCGCAGAGAUAUGGAGGAACACCAGUGGCGAAGGCGACUUUCUGGUCUGUAACUGACGCUGAUGUGCGAAAGCGUGGGGAUCAAACAGGAUUAGAUACCCUGGUAGUCCACGCCGUAAACGAUGAGUGCUAAGUGUUAGGGGGUUUCCGCCCCUUAGUGCUGCAGCUAACGCAUUAAGCACUCCGCCUGGGGAGUACGACCGCAAGGUUGAAACUCAAAGGAAAUUGACGGA
rnacentral:rRNA from 1 species